rnacentral:rRNA from 1 species
GAUGAACGCUGGCGGCGUGCCUAAUACAUGCAAGUCGAGCGAACGGACGAGAAUCUUGCUUCUCUGAUGUUAGCGGCGGACGGGUGAGUAACACGUGGAUAACCUACCUAUAAGACUGGGAUAACUUCGGGAAACCGGAGCUAAUACCGGAUAAUAUUUUGAACCGCAUGGUUCAAAAGUAAAAGACGGUCUUGCUGUCACUUAUAGAUGGAUCCGCGCUGCAUUAGCUAGUUGGUAAGGUAACGGCUUACCAAGGCAACGAUGCAUAGCCGACCUGAGAGGGUGAUCGGCCACACUGGAACUGAGACACGGUCCAGACGCCUACGGGAGGCAGCAGUAGGGAAUCUUCCGCAAUGGGCGAAAGCCUGACGGAGCAACGCCGCGUGAGUGAUGAAGGUCUUCGGAUCGUAAAACUCUGUUAUUAGGGAAGAACAUAUGUGUAAGUAACUGUGCACAUCUUGACGGUACCUAAUCAGAAAGCCACGGCUAACUACGUG